ensembl:misc_RNA 7SK 7SK RNA
GGAUAUGAGGGUGAUCUGGCUAUGACAUCUGUCACCCCAUUGAUCACCAAGGUUGAUUUGGCUGAUCUGACUGGCUAAGUGGGUGUCUCCUUCCUCCCUCACCACUCCAUGUGCCUCCCUCCUGAAGCUGCAUGCUUGGUUGAAGAGAAUGACCUAGAUAGAGGAGCAUCAGUCUUUGGUCAAGCCUGUAGGAGUAGCUACACUCCCCUGCUAGCACCUCCAAACAAGCUCUCAAGGUCAUGUGUAGGCGAAGGUAGGGUAGUAAAGCUUCCAAGACUCCAGACAUAUCCAAAUGAGGUGCUGUUGUGGCAGUCUGUCUUUAUUU